GUGGGGCAGGACAUGCUGGGAAAAACUCUGAGCAACUUCAUCUGAAUUUACAGAAAGAAAAAUCUAAAGGGUGGCAUGAUGAAGACUAUAAUCGUAUGCGUCUUUCUUGUAAGCACAGCUUCAGCGAUGAUGGUGUUCCGGCAUCCUUUCCAAACUACUGGAUCCAGAUGCUUUGAUGAAACAGGGAUGUUCUACAAGGGACGGAUUUUCCAAAACGGCCAUUAUGUGUACAAAUACGUCUACGUCUACCCGCCAGGACACUACCCGACAUUUCA